AUGCACAAAGCUCAUGGGGAUAGUGUUGCUGUGAAAAUUGGUCCAAGCAAACUUGGUGGCUCCCCUGUUCGUCGGAGUCCACGAGGUUUGACAACUAAGAAGCCUUCUUUGUCUCCUCUUCAAGAGCGGUCUUUGUUGAAAGAAAAUAAGAAGCGUAAAGUUCAUCCUGCAAAGGUGAACAAAGGUGUGAAGAAGCAUGCUCGUCUAAAAGCUGAAGAUGUUGUAUCUGAAGAAGAUGAUAUUGAAGUUGAUUCUGAAGAUGAAUUUGCAGUGCCUGUUAGCGUUAUGAGUCCGGUCAAGCCGGUGGGAGGCAAAUGCCGGAAAAGUUGCCUUGGAUGA
rnacentral:rRNA from 1 species